ensembl:lncRNA
GCACUUGUUCCCUAAGAUCCCCAAGAAGUCGGCCAUAAAACCAGCUGCAGAGACCUCACCGCAGCAAAAGAAGGAGGCUCAUGGAGAACCUCUCUCUCCAAGGCAGAACUUAAUGAAGGAAAUGCUAGAAACCAUCCGCCAAGGUGUCUCUCUAAAGCCAGUGUGCUUAUCCAGAGAGGAUGUGACGUCCCAAGUGCAAGAUGCAUCCUCUUUGGAACAUGAGCCGGAGUCUUUGAGCAAGGAAAGGAGCUCUGAAACAGCUGCCCCACUGGAUUCUUACAGCAGCCCAGCUGGUUCCAGCCAAACUCAUCAGCCCCUUGGGCGCUCCAUCCUAAGAUCUAACAGUGCAGCCUCUACUGGUCUGCCUGCUGCCCUGGCUCACAGUGAAGACGGCUGCCCAGACAGGACACGGGAGAAACCUGGCAGAAGAUCUCCAGAUGAUGAUAACAAAGGGACCAGUGCCCUUCUGGAAACCACCCCUCAAAGGGAAGGGGGCCACCUCAAAGAAGAGAACUCUAGCAGCUCCCCAGCCAGCUUGGACACCAUUUGUCAAACGCUGGAGGAUGCUGAAGCAAUGGACAGCAGCACCUCUCCAAGCAGCCAGAACCAUCAAGCUGUGGAGGAGAAAAGCUGCAAAGAUGAACCACAUGCACAAGCUGUCAUGGCUGGUGAGAUGUGUGAGGAGAUGCAGAGUGAAGCCCCAGCCAGUGUGAUGGCUAAACCUCUUGGUGAAGGCUCUGGGGAGGUGGAUCAUGGAGCAGGCAGAGGUCCUCCAAAGAUUGCUGAGCUUAAUGGCUGCAAGGAUCUGUCCCUUCACAUCAGUUGCUCAAAGGCGGAUCUGCUGGAGGAUGACAGAGGCCAGGACACACAUGUUGCAGUAGUUGUCUCCUGCCUGGAUGAAGCUGAUGCUCCGAACCGAAGUGCUGAACAAACCCUGCCUGCCCGAGAGUGUCCCAGCCCCCUGGUCUCUACAGGAACCCCAGGAGCACAGCCAGCCUUGAACCCUCUGGUUGCCUGUGAUGUAGAACCUAAUACCCCUCCAGAGGGUGGAGACCUUGCCAAGGGAGAGCCUGUGCUUCCAGCUGCUUCCCAUGCUGCUCUGGAAAGAAGCUCACCAGAGGGAGCAGAAAUGGUACUGGAAGGGGGAGCUGGGGUCAGCGCUUCAACAGAACAAAGCAGCUCCCUAAAGGAUAGUGCAGCUGCAAUGGCUCUCUUGUUACCAGGAGCAAAAGGGCAGCCUCCAGCAGAGAUGCAGCUGACUGCUGUGCCAGACCUGCUCCUGGAGGCUGGCCCGGUAGCCUCCUCUGACUCCAAGAUGAACCCUGUGGUCUUGGGCUCUCCUUGAGACUAUGGGAGAAAUGUGUAGUCUAGAACCAGAGCAGCAGCUCUCGGCAGCUCAGCCUGGUUCGGAGACCUACUAGGACUGUGGGGGGGGAAGGGGGGGGAGUUGCCAGUUUAUGCAAACUCUAAGCUAUGCACUGUCCUGAGGUCCACAGAGGCACCACUAACUUAAGACCCUGUUUGCUGUGGAAUGACGUGACUUUUUUCUUGGUAAAUCUGAACUUGAUCCAGAUCCGCAUGCCAUGGAAAAUAGUGAUGGGGAAACCUUGGCCUCCUUGCUGGAUGCUUAAGAGCAUAACAUAAACUGGCACAGUGUUUCCAAAGAAUUAGUGGGCUGAGGGGGAGGAAUCACGGGGGCUGGUCUCAACACUUUUGGCCUUCUAAUGGCCCCUGCAGAUGGAAAGGCAUGUGCAUUUAACCAAUUAAUGCAGCUUUUAUGCAAGCCCUUCUGGGACUUAAUCAAGUUGGGGACCCCCUAGUUUUACUUCUGCAAGAUGGCUGGUUGUAGACAAUGCCUGUCUUCUCAAUGUAGCAUUAAGCAAUCCUUUACUGGAGUCAAAUAAAAGGUCUUUUUACACUUGCGCUUUCUCCCUG